rnacentral:rRNA from 1 species
GACGAACGCUGGCGGCGUGCUUAACACAUGCAAGUCGAGCGGUAAGGCCCUUUCGGGGGUACACGAGCGGCGAACGGGUGAGUAACACGUGGGUGACCUGCCCUCAGCUCUGGGAUAAGCCUGGGAAACUGGGUCUAAUACCGGAUAUGACUCCAUGACGCAUGUUGUGGGGUGGAAAGCCUUGUGCGGCUGAGGAUGGGCCCGCGGCCUAUCAGCUUGUUGGUGGGGUGAUGGCCUACCAAGGCGACGACGGGUAGCCGGCCUGAGAGGGCGACCGGCCACAUUGGGACUGAGACACGGCCCAGACUCCUACGGGAGGCAGCAGUGGGGAAUCUUGGACAAUGGAGGAAACUCUGAUCCAGCCAUGCCGCGUGAGUGAUGAAGG